CAAUGACGAACUUACAAUGUAUGCUGGACGUGCAAAAAGAACAGCACUGCAAUUUUAAGGAAUACUGGGUGUGAGAUUGAGCAUCAGUCUGAGAGGAAAAGGAGACAUCAUAGGGGUAAAGGGAAGCAUUGACGAGGUGGCGGGAGAGGAGCAGGAAGAGGAGGUGGCCAAGGAGGAGGAGAUGGACAAAAAAGAGGGGCAGCUGGCCAAGGAAGAGGGGGAGGUGGCCAAGGAAGCGGGGGAGGUGGCCAAGGAAGAGAGGGAGGUGGCCAAGGAAGAGGCCAAAGAGGAAGAGGAGGCCCUGCUACAACAGAUUCAUCCACAAGUGCAAAGACAAUAAACUAUUUUAACGUUACAUGUAAAGAACUUAAUUAUACUUCUAAAUAAAAAUAAUAUAU